rnacentral:rRNA from 1 species
UACGGGGGGGGCAAGCGUUGUUCGGAAUUACUGGGCGUAAAGGGCGCGUAGGCGGCCUUCUAAGUCGGACGUGAAAUCCCUCGGCUCAACCGAGGAACUGCGUCCGAUACUGGAGGGCUUGAAUCCGGGAGAGGGAUGUGGAAUUCCAGGUGUAGCGGUGAAAUGCGUAGAUAUCUGGAGGAACACCGGUGGCGAAGGCGGCACCCUGGACCGGCAUUGACGCUGAGGCGCGAAAGCCAGGGGAGCAAACGGG